rnacentral:rRNA from 1 species
GAUGAACGCUGGCGGCGUGCCUAAUACAUGCUAGUCGAGCGAACAGACGAGGAGCUUGCUCCUCUGACGUUAGCGGCGGACGGGUGAGUAACACGUGGAUAACCUACCUAUAAGACUGGGAUAACUUCGGGAAACCGGAGCUAAUACCGGAUAAUAUAUUGAACCGCAUGGUUCAAUAGUGAAAGACGGUUUUGCUGUCACUUAUAGAUGGAUCCGCGCCGCAUUAGCUAGUUGGUAAGGUAACGGCUUACCAAGGCAACGAUGCGUAGCCGACCUGAGAGGGUGAUCGGCCACACUGGAACUGAGACACGGUCCAGACUCCUACGGGAGGCAGCAGUAGGGAAUCUUCCGCAAUGGGCAAAAGCCUGACGGAGCAACGCCGCGUGAGUGAUGAAGGUCUUCGGAUCGUAAAACUCUGUUAUUAGGGAAGAACAAAUGUGUAAGUAACUAUGCACGUCUUGACGGUACCUAAUCAGAAAGCCACGGCUAACUACGUG